CUGGAAGAUAGCUGGAAGAACUGCACAUUUCUAAUUGCACUAAAUACUGACAGAUUGCUCUGUAGAAAAGAAAUCCCAAGAACCAAGAUUUGCCUAGUAUAAUCACUAGGGUUGAGGUCUAAUGAGGCCAAAAAUCCACCAACAAUUUGAAGUCUUUCUACUAACCACCACAGAUGUAUAUGUACUUUUUAAUACAACGACUGUUAAGAAAACAAGUACGCAAUAAAUCUAAGUUAUGAAAUUUUA